GAUGAACGCUGGCGGCGUGCCUAAUACAUGCAAGUCGAGCGAACGGACGAGGAGCUUGCUUCUCUGAUGUUAGCGGCGGACGGGUGAGUAACACGUGGAUAACCUACCUAUAAGACUGGUAUAACUUCGGGAAACCGGAGCUAAUACCGGAUAAUAUUUUGAACCGCAUGGUUGAAAAGUGAAAGACGGUCUUGCUGUCACUUAUAGAUGGAUCCGCGCUGCAUGAGCUGGUUGGUAAGGUAACGGCUUACCAAGGCAAGGAUGCAUAGACGAGCGGUGAGGCGGGUCGCCGACACUGGAGCUUAGACACGCUCCUGACUCCUACGGGAGGCAGCAGUAGGGAAUCUUCCGCAAUAGGCGAAAGCCUGACGGAGCAACGCCGCGUGAGUGAUGAAGGUCUUCGGAUCGUAAAACUCUGUUAUUAGUGAAGAACAUAUUUGUAAGGAACUGUGCACAUCUUGACGGUACCUAGUCAGAAAGCCACGGCUAACUACGUG
rnacentral:rRNA from 1 species